rnacentral:misc_RNA from 1 species
CACCUGAACGUCCUUAACUAAGGCGUUUACAAUUGAUGUGGAUAACAUCGUGUACACGGAUUGGCAGCGAGAAAACUACUUCAGAGCGGUGGUGGAGGAGUUGGGUGAGGUGCGGGGACCUCUGGGGGUGGAGUAUGACCACCUCACCCUUCAUGCCUCACGCACCCUCCAACACCACCUCCCUCACAGCAACAAACUGGUCGACGUCUCCAAUGGCACCAUGAAGAUGCGUAUGAUCAAGAGUCACGAGGAGAUAGCUGUUAUUAAGAACUGCGCAGCUACU